CAUGCGUUGCCCUAGUACGGCGAGUGAAGCGGCAACAGCUCAAAUUUGAAAGCUAGCCUUCGGGUUCGCAUUGUAAUUUGUAGAGGAUGAUUUGGGGAAGCCGCCUGUCUAAGUUCCUUGGAACAGGACGUCAUAGAGGGUGAGAAUCCCGUAUGUGACAGGAAAUGGCACCCUAUGUAAAUCUCCUUCGACGAGUCGAGUUGUUUGGGAAUGCAGCUCUAAAUGGGAGGUAAAUUUCUUCUAAAGCUAAAUAUUGGCGAGAGACCGAUAGCGCACAAGUAGAGUGAUCGAAAGAUGAAAAGCACUUUGGAAAGAGAGUUAAAAAGCACGUGAAAUUGUUGAAAGGGAAGCGCUUGCAAUCAGACUUGUUUAAACUGUUCGGCCGGUCUUCUGACCGGUUUACUCAGUUUGGACAGGCCAGCAUCAGUUUCGGCGGCCGGAUAAAGGCUCUGGGAAUGUGGCCUCCACUUCGGUGGAGGUGUUAUAGCCCAGGGUGUAAUACGGCCAGCCGGGACUGAGGUCCGCGCUUCGGCUAGGAUGCUGGCGUAAUGGUUGUAAGCGACCCGUCUUAACCCCGGACCCAAUUACCUAAUUCGAAAAUCUCUGUGGGCUGCCACAACUACGAAGUAAGGUAGACACAAAAAGCAAU
rnacentral:rRNA from 1 species